rnacentral:rRNA from 1 species
GUUGCUACCAGGUAAUGCUGGGCACUCUGGUGAGACUGCCCGGUUAACGGGGAGGAAGGUGGGGACGACGUCAAGUCAUCAUGGCCCUUACGCCUAGGGCUACACACGUACUACAAUGGCGCAUACAAAGGGCAGCGAUACCGCGAGGUGGAGCCAAUCCCAAAAAGUGCGUCCCAGUCCGGAUUGCAGUCUGCAACUCGACUGCAUGAAGUUGGAAUCGCUAGUAAUUCGAGAUCAGCAUGCUCGGGUGAAUGCGUUCCCGGGCCUU